UACGGGGGGGCAAGCGUUGUUCGGAAUUACUGGGCGUAAAGGGCUCGUAGGUGGCCAACUAAGUCAGACGUGAAAUCCCUCGGCUUAACCGGGGAACUGCGUCUGAUACUGGAUGGCUUGAGUUCGGGAGAGGGAUGCGGAAUUCCAGGUGUAGCGGUGAAAUGCGUAGAUAUCAGGAAGAACACCCGUGGCGAAGGCGGCUCUCUGGGACGGUACUGACGCUGAGACGCGAAAGCGUGGGGAGCGAACAGG
rnacentral:rRNA from 1 species